UACAGAGGGUGCAAGCGUUAAUCGGAAUUACUGGGCGUAAAGCGCGCGUAGGUGGUUUUGUUAAGUUGGAUGUGAAAUCCCCGGGCUCAACCUGGGAACUGCAUUCAAAACUGACAAGCUAGAGUAUGGUAGAGGGUGGUGGAAUUUCCUGUGUAGCGGUGAAAUGCGUAGAUAUAGGAAGGAACACCAGUGGCGAAGGCGACCACCUGGACUGAUACUGACACUGAGGUGCGAAAGCGUGGGGAGCAAACAGG
rnacentral:rRNA from 1 species